UAGUGUAGGAGCUAGUUGACAGAGCUCCUACACUGCAGUGCUGCUUGGGCAGCAGUGUUUGGGCUUUGGCCCCUGUUUGACCCCAUUAGGGCAUUGGGGGUGCUUGGACAUAGGUGGGGGUUGGGCUUGUAGCUGGGCGGGCUUGGUUGGCAACAUUGGCUGCAUGGGCCACCUUCCCCUCCCCCUCUUUGGGGGAUUGGCUAGCACUGUAGGGCUUUAUUGUUUGGGUGGGCAUUGUCAGCAGCAAUUUUAAGGCGGCCCCUGGCAGUGGGUAGCCUGGCUGGGCCUUUUCAACUGGGCCCUCUGGUGGUUGGUGUUCAUGUCCCCUUGGUGGUGGUAGGCCUGGUUUGGCCUUUUCAACAAUUAUCGGCCUCCUGGUGGUGGGUGGCUGGCUGGCUGGGGUUUUCAGCAAAGUGUUCACGUCCCCCUGGUGAUGAUAGGCCUGGUUUGGCCUUUUUGCUGCAGAGUGGUUAUUGGCCCCCUAGUGGCUGGGACUGGGUGGUUUGGCCUUUUUUCUGCAGAGUGGUUGAUGGCCCCCUGGUGGCUGGGACUGGGUUUUUUCUGCUUAUUCCUGGGUUGAUUUUACUAAGGCAGAUGCCUAAGAAAGCCCAAGGUAAAACUGGUGGGCGGCCUAUUCGACAGCCCAAGCGGCCUGCUCCUCCCCCCACUCAUCGGAUUAUGAGGAUGAAGAAAUGGUCCUUGUUUGGGGGCUGAUUAACUGGAUGGAGGCUUUAGAGAAAGUCAAGGCCGCUCCCUCUGAUAAGGGUGCUGGCCCGUCAGGUGCACCCAAGAAGGUUCCUUGGCACACUCGUGGGGCUGCUAGGACGCAUUUACUAAAAUCUAUUUCCAACAGGUUGGAAACGCUGGAGAGGGGUGAGGGCCCAUCUGGCCCUGUUGUUCCUGUUGAUCCAGAGGAUCCUAGAUUGGCUGUUCCUGGUGCUCCUGUUCCGGCGGUCCCUUUUCCUGCGGCUCCAGUGUUGCCAAUGCCUUUGGAUCCAUCAGUGCCUCUGCCUUCGGAUCUGCUGGCACCUAUUGCACCGGAUAAGCCCAUUGCACCGGAUAAGCCCAUUGCACCUACACCUCCUGGCGGUACCGGCCAGUGGUCUUCUUUGUUUAUAUUCUUAAAUAUAAACAUAUUUACUUUGUUGUUUAGGGAGCCGGAGGUAAAACAUAAAGAAGGUGAGUCAUGUAAGGAGCAUGAAUCCACAAAGCAUAAGCCAGUUGGAAAAACAGGCUUUCCGGCUUCACAAUCUAUAUGGGGGUGAUAUUGCAGGCUCAGCCUGCUAGGGGGCCUGCGCUUCUUAAAUACAUGGAUAUUAUUCACCGGGCCGUUUCGGAUUUUGCCGGCCCAGCCUGGAUUAGAUGUGAUGAAAGUUUUCGAAUGCGUGCAGCGCUAGACCCUACCCUUCCCUGGAACAUGCCUUUGCAAAAGCUUGUGGCUAGUGAUUAUAUGUCCUUCCCGCCCGGUCAACGGGGAUUGCUCGGACAGUGGACACUUGCUUUCUAGGGCGCAUGGGGUUUCAUCUGCCGUGGCAGCGGGUCAAUAGUGGGUUCAACCCCACUUGGUCUGCUGGAAGUUUAACAAUGGUGGCCGUUGCUCCAGGCCGAUGUGUCACUUCAGACACGUGUGUGGGCUCUGUGGUGCUAAACAUCCGAGUUCCAUCUGCCCCAGGGCCAAGCCUGGGGGAGCAGGAUUGAAGUUCAGGGGAGGUGGCACUAAGAAAGGGGGUCCCCCUCCACCCCCUAUGGGAAAAGGACCCCAGCCCAAUAAGGCUUGAGGUCUUUGAGCACUUGUUCUUGGAUUAUCCAGAUAGGGAGGCUGCUUUUUAUUUAAUUUCAGGUUUCAGGGAUGGUUUUCUGAUUCCUUCUAGUUCUCGCCAAGUACCGGCUACGUCCCGCAACCUAAAAUCCGUAGUGGGCAUGGAGCCUGUUGUCAUUAAGAAGAUUAAGAAGGAGGUGGACACCGGUAGGGUGAUGGGGCAGUUUGCCCGCCCCCCCCUUCCUGGAGUUGAGAGUUUCUCCCUUGGGGGUGGUGCCCAAGAAGGCACCCAGGGAAUUCUGUUUGAUCCACCAUUUGUCACACCCUAGGGGUUCUUCCAUCAAUGACGGAAUCCCGGAUGCGCUCUGCACAGUGCGCUACACUUCUUUUGAUGCAGCGGUCCAUUUGGUCAGGGACCGUGGGGUCGGGGCAUUAUUGGCCAAGUGUGAUAUAGAGUCCGCCUUCUGCCUGCUGCCUGUUCAUCCUUUAGAUUUUGAUUUGUUGGGCUUCGCUUAUGCGGGUCAAUUUUAUUUUGACCGUGCUUUCCCUAUGGGCUGCUCUAUUUCAUGUGCAGCCUUUGAGGCUUUUAGCACCUUUCUGGAAUGGGCAGUGAGGUGGAGGGCGGGCUUAGUAUUCAUGGCUCAUUCUUUAGAUGAUUUUCUUUUUGCAGGGAGGGGCGAUUCUUUUGAAUGCCAACACCUGCUGCAUUGCUUUAUGGAUUUGGCAUGGGACCUGGGUGUCCCCUUGGCCAAGGACAAGACAGAAGGGCCGGUCACAUGGCUGUCCUUUUUGGGAAUCGAACUCGAUACCCUGGCGGGUUGCUUUUGUUUGCCACAGGCUAAGUUGGGGGUCCUGCUGGACUUAGUUAGGGCUCUUGGGCAUGCCCGUAAGGCUACUCUGAGGGAGCUUGAGGUGGUGGCGGGGCACCUUAACUUUGCCUGUAGGGUUGUAGUUCCUGGUAGGGCCUUUUUGAGCCACAUUUAUGAUCUCAUGAUGGGGCUUCGUGCCCCACACCACAGGGUUUGCAUUGCAUUACAGAGGGUGUUAGGGCAGACUUGGCUGUCUGGGAGACAUUUUUGCAGGGAUUUAAUGGUGUUUCAUUUUGGAGGGGCGAACAGCUCCUUGAGGCCGACCUACAGGUGCAUUUGGAUGCUGCGGGUGGCGUGGGAUGUGGGGUGUUCUUCAGGGAUCGGUGGUGCAUGGCACGCUGGCCUGCGGAUUGGGCCCAGCGGGGGGUAACGCGAGACUUGAUCUUCCUGGAGUUUUUUCCUAUCGUAGUGGCGGUACACCUUUGAACUGAGGAGUUGCCAGUUCCACGGUUUGGUUCUGGUGCAAUAACCACGUGGUAGUCCAGGUGGUCAACUCUCAAACCUCCCGCUUUAAGAGGGUGAUGGGGUUAAUGAGGGUUUUUGUACUGCAGUGCCUUCAGGCCAACAUUUUGUUUUUGGCCCGCCAUGUUCCCGGGAUCCAGAAUGACAUUGCUGAUGCCCUGUCUCGCUUUCAGGUUCAGGGAGUUAGUGCCCGAGUCAGCUCUGGAUCCGGAUCCCAUGCCUGCCUUUCUGUGGCGUCUUGGCAAGCAGAGGCCCAGCAGGCCAUAGCUGCUUCAUUGGCGCCGGGCACUAGGGUGCUAGAUGCCAGCGAUUGAACCUGGGACCUUCUGAAUGUAAAGCAGAUGCUCUAAUACUGACCAAAUGCUUUAAUAUGUUCUAGCAUCAAGCAGCUUUUAGUUCAAAAAGCCUGAAAUCUUAUGCAUUCUUGUAAGAAUGCUUAUAAGCAAGUUCCCUUGAACAAAGUGAAACUUGCUUCUGAGUAAACAUACAAAGUGUUGGGUUGUAAAGCUACACUUUUAUGCUGCUUUGGUCUAAGGUUGUUUAAAUGUUUCCAUUCACACUACAGUUCCUUUCUUCUAUGAUACAGUAUUGGCUUCUAUGUUUUAAAAGCAAGACAUUUUAAAAUUAGUUUUUAACCAUCAAGAAUAAAACUCUAUUACAGAGUUGCUGUUCCACUCUCCAUGGCUCAAGUUAAAUGGCAGCUGAAAACUACUGUCCUCUCCCAUCUCCAUAAAAGGAGUCCCUUAAACAUUCAAGUCUGUAUUUGGGCAGGUCUUCAAUGGAAGAGAAUCCAUCACUGAGGGAAGAUCAAUAUGAAUUUCUGGCAUUCAUGAAUUCUAGAUUUCAUAUGUGGCGAUGUCAAGUCACUCAGCAGUGCUCUCAUCUAAUCUAAGCAGCAGCAAUAAAGAAUGUCACUUUACACCAUUCAGACACUUUAAAAUGGACUCACAUGGAAUUAGUGCAUCUGACAAUUCAAGCCUUUUAAUAUGUGUGAAGCAUGCCUUGACAAAUGAGGAUGUGCUUCUCACACAUCCGUUUUCUAGUAACACAUUGCAAAAUAAGGCAAUAGCUUGACACAAGCAUAACAAAAAUGUUAUGCCACCUUUUCCCGAAGCAGCUAGUGGAAAUUAGAGGCUUAUCAGCAUGAAGCACAUAUGCAAGAACUGUUCUCAGUUUGUGUAGUCUGAAAUUUGAACUACCUGAAGGAGCAGUCUCUAUGAGCAAGAGUAACUAAGAAAUAUUUUAUGAACUGCAAGCUCAUAUAACUUGUUCCUAUGUGUGCAAAAUCCUCCUCACUGCAGAUCUGCCUCACUUCUAAGGACCACCUUAAAAGGUGAUGGAACCAAGGACUGAUGCAAAUAAAAGGCAGACAGUAAAUGUAUUAAUCCAAGAAGCUAUUCAGAGCACUAGUGUGUUUUUGGUUAUAAGGAUUUUCUUCAGGACAAUAAUAUAUGUGAAAUGUAGAUACCACAGCCAGCCAGUCUGGUGUAGGGACAAAAUGCUGGAGAAGGAGUUAAGAGACCCAGCUUAAAAUCCUUACUCUGCCCUACAUAAGAACAGCCCUGCUGGAUCAGGCCCAAACCCAUCUAGUCCAACAUCCUGUAUCCCAGGGUGGCCCACCAGAUGCCUCUUGGGCCAGUCACUAUCUCUCAACCUAACUCAAUUCACAGGGUUGUUGCAAGGAUUUUUUUUUUUUUUAGGUGCUGCCUUGAACUACUUGGAGUAAAGACAAAAUAGAAAGGUCUUACUUCCAAGGAUGUCUUCUACUGUGCCGACUUGGAUUCUGAGAUGUUUAGAAUCUAAGAUUGACUAUUCUAUAUUAUGUGACACAUUUAAAAUAAAUACUACACUACAACAAUAAA